UACGUAGGGGGCAAGCGUUGUCCGGAAUCAUUGGGCGUAAAGAGCGUGUAGGCGGCCCGGUAAGUCCGCUGUGAAAGUCCAGGGCUCAACCCUGGGAUGCCGGUGGAUACUGUCGGGCUCGAGUCCGGAAGAGGAGUGUGGAAUUCCUGGUGUAGCGGUGAAAUGCGCAGAUAUCGGGAGGAACACCGGUGGCGAAGGCGGUCUC
rnacentral:rRNA from 1 species